GGACUCAUAGCUUAAUUGGAUAGAGCAUCUGACUACGGAUCAGAAGGUUGGGGAUUCGAGUUCCUCUGAGUCCG
rnacentral:tRNA from 2 species